AAAAGCUCGCUAAGGGCGACUUAUGCAAAAAAUGAGCAUCUCGGUGAGUUGGAAACCCGAAAGGGCGACUCAGGAAAAAUUAGGGACAAACAAAAAAAUUAAGCCCGAUAAGUCGAAAACCCGAAAGGGCGGCUUAAGCAAAAAAGGGUAAAAUCUUCCGCUGAACUGAAACUCUUAAGGAGCAGUUCGUGGUAAAGUUAGAGAAUAUUCAAAGGCAUAAUACUG
rnacentral:lncRNA from 1 species